rnacentral:misc_RNA from 1 species
UUUCCGUAGGUGAACCUGCGGAAGGAUCAUUAAUGAGUUGUCAUGGGGUUCGAUGCUGGCAGCCAGUUUUUGGAUGCAUGUGCUUGCCCUAACAAUCAUCUUCUUCCAAACACCUGUGCACAUUUUUGAGGGAGUCUUGAGUUGGUUGCCGCUCUUGGGUGAUUUUCUCACAUUCCCUUAAAUCAUUAUACGCUAUUAACAAUGUUGAACGUGCUCUGUGCCGCAAGGCCAAUAAUAUAAUACAACUUUUAACAACGGAUCUCUUGGCUCUC